rnacentral:tRNA from 1 species
GUCCGCGUAGCUCAACGGCUGGGCGCCAGUCUUAAUGAAACUGGGUCUGUUGCGGGUUCGAAUCCCGCCGCGGACG